rnacentral:rRNA from 1 species
UACGAAGGGGGCUAGCGUUGCUCGGAAUUACUGGGCGUAAAGCGCACGUAGGCGGCUUUCUAAGUCGGGGGUGAAAUCCUGGAGCUCAACUCCAGAACUGCCUUCGAUACUGGAAAGCUCGAGUCCGGGAGAGGUGAGUGGAAUUCCCAGUGUAGCGGUGAAAUGCGUAGAUAUUGGGAGGAACACCAGUGGCGAAGGCGGCUCACUGGACCGGAACUGACGCUGAGGCGCGAAAGCGUGGGGAGCAAACGGG